AUUGAACGCUGGCGGCAUGCCUUACACAUGCAAGUCGAACGGUAACAGGUCUUCGGAUGCUGACGAGUGGCGAACGGGUGAGUAAUACAUCGGAACGUGCCCGAUCGUGGGGGAUAACGGAGCGAAAGCUUUGCUAAUACCGCAUACGAUCUACGGAUGAAAGCAGGGGACCGCAAGGCCUGCGCGGACGGAGCGGCCGAUGGCAGAUUAGGUAGUUGGUGGGAUAAAAGCUUACCAAGCCGACGAUCUGUAGCUGGUCUGAGAGGACGACCAGCCACACUGGGACUGAGACACGGCCCCAGACUCCUACGGGAGGCAGCAGUGGGGAAUUUUGGACAAUGGGCGCAAGCCUGAUCCAGCCAUGCCGCGUGCAGGAUGAAGGCCUUCGGGUUGUAAACUGCUUUUGUACGGAACGAAAAGACUCUUUCUAAUAAAGAGGGUCCAUGACGGUACCGUAAGAAUAAGCACCGGCUAACUACGUG
rnacentral:rRNA from 1 species